AGGUGGGGUCGAUGGAGAGAAAUUCUGUCCCAUGGUCGCUUCAAGAGGCAGCUAAAUGAGCAGGAUGUGGAGAUAAUUUGCCGAGCCCUGUUAGCCUAUUGUCUCGUUCACUACAGAGGGGAUGAGAAAAUAAAGAGUUUUAUAUGGGAUCUCAUCACCCCAACAGAGGAUGGGCAAACACGAGAGUUACAGAACCACCUCGGCUUAUCAGCCCCUGUGCCUAGAGGAAGAAAAGGAAAAAAAGUGAAGACCCAGGCUAGCACUUUCGAUAUACACAAAGCUGAAUGGCUUCGAAAAUACAACCCAGAACAUCUGUUGCAAGAUGAAGGAUACAAAAAGCACAUAAAACACCAUUGUAACAAGGUCUUACUUCGAGUAA